UCGAACGGCAGCACGGACUUCGGUCUGGUGGCGAGUGGCGAACGGGUGAGUAAUAUAUCGGAACGUACCCAGUAGUGGGGGAUAACUAUCCGAAAGGAUAGCUAAUACCGCAUACGAUCUAAGGAUGAAAGCAGGGGAUCUUCGGACCUUGUGCUAUUGGAGCGGCCGAUAUCUGAUUAGCUAGUUGGUGAGGUAAAAGCUCACCAAGGCGACGAUCAGUAGCUGGUCUGAGAGGACGACCAGCCACACUGGAACUGAGACACGGUCCAGACUCCUACGGGAGGCAGCAGUGGGGAAUUUUGGACAAUGGGCGCAAGCCUGAUCCAGCAAUGCCGCGUGAGUGAAGAAGGCCUUCGGGUUGUAAAGCUCUUUUGUCAGGGAAGAAAAGGUGCGCUCUAACAUAGCGUACUGAUGACGGUACCUGAAGAAUAAGCACCGGCUAACUACGUGCCAGCAGCCGCGGUAAUACGUAGGGUGCAAGCGUUAAUCGGAAUUACUGGGCGUAAAGCGUGCGCAGGCGGUUUUAUAAGUCUGAUGUGAAAUCCCCGGGCUCAACCUGGGAACUGCAUUGGAGACUGUAAGGCUAGAGUGUGUCAGAGGGGGGUAGAAUUCCACGUGUAGCAGUGAAAUGCGUAGAUAUGUGGAGGAAUACCGAUGGCGAAGGCAGCCCCCUGGGAUAACACUGACGCUCAUGCACGAAAGCGUGGGGAGCAAACAGGAUUAGAUACCCUGGUAGUCCACGCCCUAAACGAUGUCUACUAGUUGUCGGGACUUAAUUGUCUUGGUAACGCAGCUAACGCGUGAAGUAGACCGCCUGGGGGAGUACGGUCGCAAGAUUAAAACUCAAAGGAAUUGACGGGGACCCGCACAAGCGGUGGAUGAUGUGGAUUAAUUCGAUGCAACGCGAAAAACCUUACCUACCCUUGACAUGGCAGGAAUUCCGAAGAGAUUUGGAAGUGCUCGCAAGAGAACCUGCACACAGGUGCUGCAUGGCUGUCGUCAGCUCGUGUCGUGAGAUGUUGGGUUAAGUCCCGCAACGAGCGCAACCCUUGUCAUUAGUUGCUACGAAAGGGCACUCUAAUGAGACUGCCGGUGACAAACCGGAGGAAGGUGGGGAUGACGUCAAGUCCUCAUGGCCCUUAUGGGUAGGGCUUCACACGUCAUACAAUGGUACAUACAGAGGGCCGCCAACCCGCGAGGGGGAGCUAAUCCCAGAAAGUGUAUCGUAGUCCGGAUUGUAGUCUGCAACUCGACUACAUGAAGUUGGAAUCGCUAGUAAUCGCGGAUCAGCAUGUCGCGGUGAAUACGUUCCCGGGUCUUGUACACACCGCCCGUCACACCAUGGGAGCGGGUUCUGCCAGAAGUAGGUAGCUUAACCGUAAGGAGGGCG
rnacentral:rRNA from 1 species